AUUGAACGCUGGCGGCAUGCCUUACACAUGCAAGUCGAACGGUAACAGGUCUUCGGAUGCUGACGAGUGGCGAACGGGUGAGUAAUACAUCGGAACGUGCCCAGACGUGGGGGAUAACGAGGCGAAAGCUUUGCUAAUACCGCAUACGAUCUAAGGAUGAAAGCAGGGGACCGCAAGGCCUUGCGCGUUUGGAGCGGCCGAUGGCCGAUUAGGUAGUUGGUGGGAUAAAAGCUUACCAAGCCGACGAUCUGUAGCUGGUCUGAGAGGACGACCAGCCACACUGGGACGGAAACACGGCCAAGACUCCUAAGGGAGGCAGCAGUGGGGAAUUUUGGACAAUGGGCGAAAGCCUGAUCCAGCAAUGCCGCGUGCAGGAUGAAGGCCUUCGGGUUGUAAACUGCUUUUGUACGGAACGAAAAGGCUCUGGCUAAUACCUGGGGCACAUGACGGUACCGUAAGAAUAAGCACCGGCUAACUACGUG
rnacentral:rRNA from 1 species